AUUGAACGCUGGCGGCAGGCCUAACACAUGCAAGUCGAGCGAGCGGCGGACGGGUGAGUAAUGUAUGGGGACUGCCCGAUAGAGGGGGAUAACUACUGGAAACGGUGGCUAAUACCGCAUACUAUCGGAUAACCCAUAUGGGAUUAGCUAGUAGGGUGGGUAAAGGCUCACCUAGGCGACGAACUCUAGCUGGUCUGAGAGGAUGAUCAGCAACACUGGUACGUGGACACGGCCCAAACUCCUCCGGGGGCAGCAGUGGGGAAUAAUGCACAAGGGGCGCAAGCCUGAUGCAGCCAUGCCGCGUGUAUGAAGAAUGCCUUAGGGUUGUAAAGUACUUUCAGCGGGGAGGCGUUACCCGCAGAAGAAGCACCGGCUAACUCCGUGCCAGCAGCCGCGGUAAUUC
rnacentral:rRNA from 1 species